rnacentral:rRNA from 1 species
AGAGCGAACGCUGGCGGCAGGCCUAACACAUGCAAGUCGAGCGCCCCGCAAGGGGAGCGGCAGACGGGAGAGUAACACGUGGGAACGUACCCUUCAGUUCGGAACAACCCAGGGAAACUUGGGCUAAUACCGAAUACGUCCGUAAGGAGAAAGAUUUAUCGCUGAAGGAUCGGCCCGCGUCUGAUUAGCUAGUUGGUGAGGUAACGGCUCACCAAGGCUACGAUCAGUAGCUGGUCUGAGAGGAUGAUCAGCCUCACUGGGACUGAGACACGGCCCAGACUCCUACGGGAGGCAGCAGUGGGGAAUAUUGGACAAUGGGCGCAAGCCUGAUCCAGCCAUGCCGCGUGGAUGAUGAAGGCCUUAGGGUUGUAAAGUCCUUUCGACGGGGAAGAUAAUGACGGUACCCGUAGAAGAAGCCCGGCUAACUUCGUGCCAGCAGCCGAC